AAUAUAAUAUCUGUUAUUUACAGACAGCAUGACUAAACACAGCUUAAGAGGGUGUAUGUUCUGUGUCCAUCCCCGAUCAGCUGGGUCUUCUCACUAGCGUUGGUUGGCUGCAGCACAAUCGGAGUGUCACCAUCUGAAAAAAGAAAGAAAGAAAAUCACAGAGUGACUGAGGCAUGCUCUGUACUCAAAUACCAUUUCAAAACGGAGUGUGACCACCUGAAGAACACAUCUGAAGUGUUUGCGCAUGUCCUUUUACCUCUCUCGUUGUCCGUACGGAUCUGCUCCUCCAGGUCUUCAGGAGACACAUAGCACUCAGUGUCCUCUUCUCCAGGUGUGUGUGGUUUGCACUUUCCACAACAGCAGUUGAAACAGCAGCACAGACAACAGCAGAAAUAGCAACCUGUCAGCAAGCCGCAGAUGGCAAACAGACCCUAUAAAUGAGAAUGUUCGAAAUCAGA